CUGGCACCUUGAGGAGGUCUUCAGAAGCCGCUUCAGGGGUUGGUGUCCGGAUCGCUCUCCUGCUGUUUCCACCGGGGGACCUCUCCAGGCCCCAAGGUGGAGAGCUCGCUGUAAAUGGAUUCCCGCUGGCAGCUGCCAUUGCGCGGCCAAGUCCGAGGCCGACUCCGAGGCCGAGGCGACAUUCGAAGGCAUGGCCGUGCUCGCAGUUUCGCUCGCGGUCUCCUUCGCAGUCGCAGUGUCCUUCGCAGUCGCGGUCGUGGCCAUGGCUUUGGUCAUGGCCGUGGCCGCCAUCUUCACCAUCGCUGGCUCCUUAGUCAGAACAUGAACUUGUUGGGGGCCCUGGCAGAGAUACUGUACGCCACACAGAACGAACCCCUGAUGGAAGAGGGCCAUUUUAUCUGGGCGUUACCUUCGGCCCCAGAAUUCCAGGAGCCAACAGGUGACAAUGCAACCACAAGUAAUUCUGUGGAGCCGGCAGUGAACCAGGCAGACAAGGCAGCAUUAGAGCAGGCAGCAGCAGAGCAGGCAGAGGAAGAAGCCGAAGAGUGUGGAGAGGAGUUCGAACUACAGAUCACAGAUGCCAGAUCAAUAACUCAAUAUGAGUUUGACAACUGGGGUAAUGAUUUUAUAUAUGAAGAAGAGGAAGAAGCAGAAGAACAAACUGAAAACACAGAAGAAGAAGGAGUUGAAGAAGGUCCUGAAAAGGACCUUGACUCAGCAGAUGACAGCUCUUAAAAAUCCAGAUAAGAACAAUGAAAAGAAGACGGAAAAAGAAAAGUCUGUUGUUCAAUCUUUUUAGACUUUUCAGAAGCCCAUGGAAAAUUUUAGCACUGAUAGCAUUUUUAAAUGCAUUACACCAAAAAUUAGCUAAAUAAUAUUCCAAGUUCAUUACCUCAAAAGUGACAUCCCGUGACAACUACUCUUUCUCUUAUGGAUGAAUUUGACAAUGUUUAAUAAAACUAAAAAUGUUUGAGUGAAUAAACAGUU
rnacentral:lncRNA from 1 species